GAUGAACGCUGGCGGCGUGCCUAAUACAUGCAAGUCGAGCGAACAGAUGAGGAGCUUGCUCCUCUGACGUUAGCGGCGGACGGGUGAGUAACACGUGGAUAACCUACCUAUAAGACUGGGAUAACUUCGGGAAACCGGAGCUAAUACCGGAUAAUAUAUUGAACCGCAUGGUUCAAUAGUGAAAGACGGUUUUGCUGUCCCUUAUAGAUGGAUCCGCGCCGCAUUAGCUAGUUGGUAAGGUAACGGCUUACCAAGGCAACGAUGCGUAGCCGACCUGAGAGGGUGAUCGGCCACACUGGAACUGAGACACGGUCCAGACUCCUACGGGAGGCAGCAGUAGGGAAUCUUCCGCAAUGGGCGAAAGCCUGACGGAGCAACGCCGCGUGAGUGAUGAAGGUCUUCGGAUCGUAAAACUCUGUUAUUAGGGAAGAACAAAUGUGUAAGUAACUGUGCACGUCUUGACGGUACCUAAUCAGAAAGCCACGGCUAACUACGUG
rnacentral:rRNA from 1 species